rnacentral:lncRNA from 1 species
GGACUUGAGAAAAGAACAGCCAGAAUACAAUGGUGGAAAGAUCCAGAGGAUUUGUAGCUUAGAAGCACUUCCUGUGAACAAUCGCUGGACCAGACUCAUCAUACUCACCCUUCGAGAUCCACAUCUGUUGCAUAAAAAUCAGAAUGCACUGUUAGUAUGUAUACAGGGAACAAAUAUAAUGUAACUGCUGCAGCAUAUCAAGCUGUAUGCUUGCUAUGUGAGAAAAAGGAAUGAGCAAAAGUCACCUGUUGGAAGGUGCUAAGGGAGGCAAGGAUGGACCCUCCAAUCCAGACACUGUACUUCCUCUCAGGCGGUGCCACCACCUUAAUCUUCAUGCUGCUUGGUGCAAGGGCAGUGAUCUCCUUGCUCAUACGGUCAGCAAUACCCGGGAACAUGGUUGAGCCACCACUAAGCACAAUGUUACCAUAGAGGUCCUUCCUGAUAUCCACAUCACACUUCAUGAUAGAGUUGUAGGUGGUCUCAUGGAUUCCAGCAGCUUCCAUACCAAUGAAAGAUGGCUGGAAAAGGACUUCAGGGCAACGGAACCUCUCUGCCCCAAUGGUGAUCACCU